UAUUUUGACUGUGCAAAGGUAGCAUAAUCAUUAGUCUUUUAAUUUGGGACUGGAAUGAAUGGUUUUACGAGGUAAAUACUGUUUUUUAAUUAAUUUUGUUUGAAUUUAGAUUUUAAGUAAAAAUACUUAAAUUUUAUUAGGGGACGAUAAGACCCUAUAGAGUUUUAUAUAACUAUUUUUAAUUUUGGUUAUUUUAAAAUUUUUUAUUAAUUUUGUUUAUAUUUUAUUGGGGUGAUUUAAAUAUAUGUAAAACUUUUUAUUAUUUUUUAUUUUAUGAAAAAUUUAUUGAUCCAUUAUUUAAUGAUUAUAAGAUUAAAUUACCUUAGGGAUAACAGCAUAAUUUUUUUUGAGAGUUCUUAUUGAAAGAGAAGAUUAUGACCUCGAUGUUGGAUUAAGAUAAAUUUUGGGUGUAGAUGUUUAAUAAUUGGGUCUGUUC
rnacentral:rRNA from 1 species